GUGGGUGUAGCUCAGCUGGCAGAGCACUUGGUUGUGGCCCAAGAUGUCGCGGGUUCAAGUCCCGUCACUCACCCCA
rnacentral:tRNA from 1 species